UGCAAGUCGAGCGAUGAAGCACCUUCGGGUGUGAAUUAGCGGCGAACGGGUGAGGAACACGUGAAGAAUCUGCCUUCAACUCUGGGAUAACUCCGGGAAACCGGGGCUAAUACCGGAUAUGAGCCUUGAUCGCAUGAUCGGGGCUGGAAAGUUUUUCGGUUGAAGAUGACUUCGCGGCCUAUCAGCUUGUUGGUGAGGUAAUGGCUCACCAAGGCGACGACGGGUAGCCGGCCUGAGAGGGCGACCGGCCACACUGGGACUGAGACACGGCCCAGACUCCUACGGGAGGCAGCAGUGGGGAAUAUUGGGCAAUGGAGGAAACUCUGACCCAGCGACGCCGCGUGAGGGAUGAAGGCCUUCGGGUUGUAAACCUCUUUCAGUAGGGAAGAAGCGAAAGUGACGGUACCUACAGAAGAAGCACCGGCUAACUAUGUGCCAGCAGCCGCGGUAAUACAUAGGGUGCAAGCGUUGUCCGGAAUUAUUGGGCGUAAAGAGCUCGUAGGUGGUUCGAUACGUCGGAUGUGAAAAUCAGGGGCUCAACCCCUGACCUGCAUCCGAUACGGUCGAGCUAGAGUUUGGUAGGGGAGACUGGAAUUCCUGGUGUAGCGGUGGAAUGCGCAGAUAUCAGGAGGAACACCGAUGGCGAAGGCAGGUCUCUGGGCCAAUACUGGCACUGAGGAGCGAAAGCGUGGGGAGCGAA
rnacentral:rRNA from 1 species